rnacentral:lncRNA from 1 species
AGGUCUGGAUUAAUGUAUUAACAUAUUAUUAACUUCCUUGAUAAAACUUAAUUUCAGCACAGCCCGACCUGGUAGAGUAAAUCAAAGCAAGAUCAUGUUUUGGAAGUCUCUCCCUGACAUUAGAAAGGGGAGGAAUUGGCUUUGAAUUUGAUUUCUGGGUUCACAUGUAAAAUUUCUUUAAAAAACCUUUCCAGCUUUAAUUACUGAGCCUUGAGAAAAAAAAAAAAAUAUACACACACACACACACACACACACACACACACACACAUAUAUGUUUUGGCUCUUCGGAUUUGUGGUACAUGGUUAGGUUUUUAAUUUUCACCAAGUUUAUAUUUUUGUCUUUAUUUUUUUAUUUCCACAGAAAAGAAAAUCACUAAGUUUAUAUUUGUGAUGGUUUAAUUUUUCCUCUGUAUUAUAACAGCUUUAGGAAUGAUUUAAAGAAACUUCAUUUCAUUGGUGAGACAUGGGAAGCAGAAAGCAAAAGCAGUCUUAGAUUUUGUUUUAAAACCAGAUUCAUAGAAGAUACUGUUUGAUUAUUUCAAUGCCCAAAAUGAUACCUUUAAAAUUUCAUUAAGGGUAUUAGGGCAUUUUUUUUCUCUAACAAUAAUUAUCUAGUUAAUUUUGCUUUUUAACAAGGACUUAUAAUCAUUAUAAAUUGUUGCAUUGAAUUUAAUAAAUUUUAAUUACCUUUGAUUGAACUGAGCUUAUCUUUACACAUUAACUAUUAAAAUUCUGGCUUAAUGCUGAUAUUAAUCCAUAAUAAUAUUUGAAAUCAGUGUAUGCAGUCUCAAGAAAUGAGUGAAAGAAUUGAAUGUCAUCUCCUUAUCCCUUUUCUAACCCAUGCAAUUGAAAAUAUGUGAGUUUUCAUUUUAUAACACAGACCUAACCUACCUUAUUUUAAAUUCAUUGUGGGAGCUUGACUUGCAAGAGAAAAAAUUCAUAGAAUAUUUUAAAGUCCUAUUGCUGUGGAGAUUUAUGCAAAUUCCUUAUGGAAAUGUAGACAUAACUUUCCCUUCAUCAAUAAUGAUGCAUAUUUUCCUGUGAAAUAUAGCCUGGAUCUCACCAUCAAUAUAUGAGACUUCUCCAGCGUACUCUUGGUAUAAAAAGCAUUGGUGACAUUUCACUGAAAAAUAUCCUCAAGUUAAUUUAAUAUUUCAAAUGACUUCAGGACUUUGAAACAGUGGAUUUGGAUGUACACAUAAGAUCCUUUUAUUUUCUCUAUGAGGGCUAGUGAGGGAGAAGAGAUGGGUUACAAGGGUUGGAAUUAAAGCAGGUUUUAAUAAACAUACAAGUUAUACCUUACUCAAUUAAGAAUCCAUCAGUGACAGGUACAACAAGUUUCUUUGUUUGUUUCUUUGUUUUAUAAGUCUGGUAUCUAAACCCACAGUGAAGUUAGUCUAUAUUAACUAUUCAUUUUCCACUGUAAAUUAAAGUUAUAGCUUUUGAAUACCAGGGAGUGAAUGAAAUAGUCAACUGCAAAAUGGGAAAUAACUAGUUCUGAAAAUCUUCUCUCAAGUGAUUUUUGGAAUAGGAUCUAUGCCAUGGACUUUUUCCUUUUCCUGGACUUGGUAAGGAAAAGAAAAUAUAAGCUUUAAAAAUUAUCAUAUUAAAACACAUAUGGCAUAAGACCUCUUUUUACUUAGCAAAAAUAUUUUUGACAGGCUAAGGAAAGGGCUGGAAUUUGGGAGGGCAAGUAGACAUGUACUUUUUAAGUUCUAUUAUAUUGAUUGAUUUCAUAAAAGUAACAAGCUAUUUAAAAAUUACUCUCUAUCCACUUAUUUCCUUGUGCUCUUCAACAGAUGGCACCCAGUGAAAGAGGCACGCCGUCAAUCAUCCUGUGUGGUGCCCAGCACUUUUCCUGUCCCGCUUUUCUUAUGCCUUUCAGCGCCAUUUGCCACGGUGGCAUCACUACAUAUCUGUUUGCUGAAACAGUCAGCUGCCAUAGUUUGGCUUUCAAAGUCAUUUGGCCCAAAUUUCAGUCUCACUCUUAAGAAAAGCUAGGCACAACGCAUCGUGUCCACAUGCUCAACUCAGCAUGUGUAUAAUUUAGAAAAGGGGCAUGAACAAAGGGGACAUUGGUGCUGAACAAUCCCUCUAAUUUUUACAAGAUUCCGCUGGUCUAUAACGACUUUCAAAAAGUUAGGUUUUAUGGUGCAUCUUUUUUUUGGUGCAACUUAAUUUAUGGCUUGGAUUGAUAACCUCUUGCAUUUGGAAGCAUCUCUAAGAUUUUGACAAUUCAUACCAAUUAAGUUCAAAUGUGUCACAAAGUGACCCAUCUGACAGUAUCUUGUCGGUCAGUUGACAAGAGGUUGCUCCUAUUGCAUGAUUAUAGAGAGGAUCAAUCCCCAAAUGGGUCUUUCCAAAGGGCAAUGGCAGCAAAAUAUUUUGAAGGGUAGAUAAAUUUAAAUUGAAAGGAGAGAGGAAUUAACUUUCACUAAGUUAAUAAACACAUAUGCUCUUGGUUACUAAUAAGUAUUAGUUUGCACUGAGGAACCUAUUCUGUCUGAGUGAACAGAUGCUAUUUCAAAAGGUUAGUUCACCAAAAGUGAGCGAUAUCAUAACAAUAGAAUUCUAAUCAUCUUGUGGUUGGAAUAGAGGACUUGGUCUAUUUGAAAAUGAGUAAAGGCACAUCAGAGACUGGACCAUUUGCAGCACAACACGCUUUGUGCAACUUGUUCUUUUUAGCUUGUUUUCAUUUCUAUCUACCUUAGCCUGUUCAUUACAUACAGUGAUUUGGUUUUCCCUUUCCUUCUAUGGGGAUUGUAAGUGCAUUCAUUUUGUUUUUAUCACAGUCUACUUUAUGUGUAUAAAAGUCUAAGGAUAUAGGGAGUUCCCAUUAUGGCACAGCAGAAAUGAAUGAACCUCGUAUCCAAGAGGAUGCAGGUUCCAUCCCUGGCCUUGCUCAGUGGGUCGGGGAUCCAGCAUUGCCAUGAGCUGUGGUAUAGGUCACAAACAUGGCUCAGAUCUCAUGUUGCUAUAGCUGUGACAUAGGCCGGUGGCUAUAGCUCUGAUUCAACCC